GGAUAAUCGUCCCAAGAUAGCUGUGCUUCAUUAGCCGAGACUUUCUAGCUGGAUCUGGAAUACUGGCUACGGCAUCGUGUGCGUUACUGAAAUGAGUUAAGCGGUUGACACCUUGAGCACAGAAAGACUCAACUUUGAAGCUCUGACUCAUGACCUUGAAACUGAAAGACUCGCUGGGAGCUCCGCGGAUCCAGCUGUCCGACGAGGCUGACACAUUCUGCUCUAAAGAGAAGACCUAAUUUCUCUCCGCGAGCCGUGCUUUCGCCUGGCUGGCCAUUUCUCUCGUAGCGCGAAGAUCGGUUCCUCAGGAUUCAGUUUUGGAACUGUCCCGGAUCCCGGGUAACUGGAUUCGCAGCACGCAGAGUCCACAGGGAAGGUGAAUCCCCAGGGACACCCACGGUAGCUACGUGCUGAAUUAUUGACUAAAUAAAGGAGUCUCAACCCACUGCCUUGCCUUAUUACAGAGGUUCAGCUUCUCUGCCUCGACCAUUUUGCUAAUGUCCUGUUUCUCCUCCUGGCUUUUGGACUCACUCUCAUCUCUCUCCAAUCCAUUUUUCACGGGGCUGGCCUGUCUUGCCGUCUCACUCCUGAAAUUCUAUCCACCGGCCCUCCCCACAGCCUGACACUUGUUAAUCCUCCUUCGCGCAGUGUUG
rnacentral:lncRNA from 1 species